ensembl:lncRNA
UGCACAAGUGUUUGUUUUCUUGAGUACCUAACUAAAGUUGCCACACACAGCAAAUGAAUAUUGACUUAAGCGCAGCUGCCAAGGCAAGAGCCGUGUGAAGCUGAGGAAUUCCUUUUCCAACCGUUUGCAGGAACAGACAGCACGCAGCAGAUGAUCCCUGGAGGGGUAUGCUCAGCACACACAAACAUGAUGUUUACUGGCUCUGGGAUGGAUCAGGGAGGGAUUUAGAGACUCCAAGCUUGGCUGUGCGGCUCAGAGAUCACCCUGCAAGUCUGACGGAGGCAGGUCACUGUUGGUCUGACCCAUCCCUGACUUGAAAUGAGUUUGCUCAGCGCAGUGUGAGCUUUAGGAUGUAAAUAUGCUUUAAUUAUCCAGCUUGGUGUUUGCACUGGCGUGACUCCCCUGUCUGUGGGGGCAGCAGCUCUCCGCAGGUCACCUCUCUGCGAAUAGAGGAGGGUGUGAAGCAGCAGAUGGAAGUGAAGGGAUGACUUUUGAAAUGGAGUAAACCCUUCUGCAGGAGCCGUCCGUGGCCUUUUCUGCAAACUGAGAGCAAACAGAUUCACGAGCGAGGAGCAAAACUCUCAUUUCCUGCUAUCUACAAACCAGUCUGAACCAAGGAACCAAUCUGAGUUCCUGUGCUUGCACAGAGCGCGUUCCUUUUAAUAUCCCACACCCCCCGAUGGGAGCCCGCAGACAUUAAUUGCUUGCGAAGGCUCUCUGAAGUGUUUCACUUGGUGGAUGUAUUUCGUGAUCUCCAAGCAGCACUUGUGAGAAGCAGCAACGUGCGUCGCCGACGGACCGCCUGAUUCCUCACCAACUGCUUUCUGUCACCGCAGCCCCUGACUUUGUCACAGCCAGCAGCACGGGGAGGGGAGAGCUGUGCGGGGUUGAGACAGAGGGCAAAGCUCUUGGAAAUCAAUGCCUGAAUUGCCGGGAGAAAGCGUGGCAUCACAGUAAUCCCUCUGGGACAGCCGACCUUUAUUUCUCUCUUUCCCCUCUCUUCGGUCGAUGCGACAGCUUUACGCACAGAAGGGCCACCAACUUUGGUUUAUUUAUUUAUUUUCCAGCAGCUCUUCACGAGGCUUCUUGGUGGGAAGAGCUCUGCGUAGGUUGGAGGAACUCCAGCUUGGGUAAAACAACACCUGUUCUUGGUGACCUGCUCAAAGCCGUUUCCCAGGGAUGCCAGCAGGGGUAGCUGGGGUUUGGGUAAGAGCACAGCCCCAGGGCACACAGCACAAGUAUCUGUAGGACAUAGAAUCGCUAAGGCUGGAAAAGACCUCUAAGAUGAUCUAGUCCAACUAUCAGCCCAUCCCCCCCAUGCUCAGUAAGCCAUGUCCCCAAGCACCAAGGCUUGGGCAGAGGUUGGGUAAUCCGAACUGCAAAAAGCCACUGGGGUGAGCAGAGUAGUGAUCCUGUGGUUCCAAUCACCAAUAAGUCCCCUUUUCCCCUCUUUCUGACUCUUUUGCAUUCAGUAGUUCUGUCUGCCUGGGCUGAAGUCAGGGCUCAACAUGGCAAUGGCUCCUCUUGAUGGUCUCUUGAGGUCCCUUCCAACCCUUGCAAUUCUAUGAUUCCAUGAUACCAGUUUGCAUCUGGCCAGUGUGGGCAGACUUCCCUCAACUUCAUUCUCCUGCAAAGCCAUUUGACUUUUCCAGCUGCUAAAAUCUGCCUGUUUUAUUACUCACAGAAGGCAGCACGUCUUACCUCUUCCUGACUCCAUCCCUCCCUUCCUCCCCAUGGACUGGACUGCAGAGCUCUGCCAGCCCACAGGGCUGACCCUACCACCGUGCUCUGUCUGUAACCCAAAUGGGAUGGGUUUGUACAGGGCUGUGAGGUGCUCCCCUGGUACAUCCCCUUCUUUUAGGAAGCUAUGGCCCUGGGAUGUAAAGAUGGGUGAGGAGGAGACGGGAUUAGCCUUGAUCAGUGUACCAGGGCAAUGUCUUGUUUGUUGGCUUCCUGAGUAACGCUUCAACCGCAUCCCUCUUACAUUUUCUUUGUCCUACACACUACGUAUGAACAGUGCUGGGUGUUAGAGAAGGAUUCAUCCAGCACUUGAAAAGCCCUCGGGACUGCAUACUUUUCUUCUGAGGACAAGAAGGUGACAGUAUAAAAACAGACCCUUGUCACUUUGUCAGCUCCCCUGGACCCAUGUCAGCGGGUCUGGUGCUUCUCUCCCCAUGUCCCCACAGCCCCGCUGAGCAGCCCCCGCUGCCUGCUGCAGGCAGCAGAGUGCCUUGCCUUCUCCUGGCAGGAUACCCCUUGCAGGUGGCUGAUGGAAGCCAGCGGGAUCAGCGCUUGGCUGUCAGAUCCCAGCGGGAGCGCAGGGUUUGGGCAGCGGGGUGUGCCAAUGCAGGAGGGGUCUAAAGCAAAUCUGAUUUGGAAUUGCCGAGGCAGGAAUGCCCACGGUGGCUGUUGCAAAACCUAUCCCCAAGGCUGGGCUGCCUUUGAACACAAAUUAGUUGGGACUGAAGUUGCUUACAUCCCCUGAUGUGGUUUUAGCAUUUUGUGAUUUGCUCCUAAUUCAUCUGAAGCCAGAAAUGCUUCCUGGUGUGCCCUCUGAGUUUUCAUCUGAGUCGAGCUGGAUUGCCUUGGGCUGUUUCUCCAGGGCUGGGAACUUUCUGUUCUCUCCUGGCUGAUCACACAGGGUAAAAAUCACUGCAGGAGUGCAUGAACUGUGAGCUGCUGCACGGGCUGCGCGGCUGCUGUGGGUUCGGUGCUCUUGAGGAUGGCCAGGAAACCAUUAGGAACACUGCUCCUCUUCCCUCCAAAUUUAUCUUCCUUUUUAUCAGUGCUCACAGUUCAAUUCCAGCAGCCUCAACAGCAAUUAGUCCUUCAGAACUGGAGCUAGCCAUGCAGUGGGAGUGCGCUCUUGGUAGAUAUGUAAGAGGCUCCAUUUCAGAUGGUCAGGGUGGGUAGGUGAUGGGUGGAAGGGAACAACAGAUCACUGACAGUCAGAAGGUGACCCCAGAAUGUUUCAGAACAGCUCUGCUUCCACCUGCCUGCAGGUGGAAUGCAGGAUGGCAUUGUGCUGAUGCCAUCCAGGUGCCAGGAUGGAGAUCUCUUCCCUGCACGCUCAAUAUGACGUUAAGCUUUAUUUUCUGCCUGCAAUUCUGGCUUCAUUCAAUCUUGCCCAGAAGAAAAACCCUUUGAAUAGUGCAUGUGCCUGUGCUGCUGUGGCGUGUUCACACUGUCAGCGAGGCGAGAGUCCCUUUGGCUCUGGAGUGGAAACAGACCUCAUUUUGUGUGGCUGCGUCACUGCUGUCACCCCGAGCACCCUCCUGCCCCGCUGCUGACCCAACCCAAGCUGCUGCUGGGUGAGCAAUGGGGCACAGACCUGCCUGGGGGUGUGGGUGCUGGUGGUGCUGCCCUGAGGGUCAUUGCUCAGCCUGAGAGACAACAGAUAGACACACAUCUUCCUGCUGUUCCCUGAGGCUGACUUCAUUUACCAUCAGAAUUUUUUCAAGAACAAAGCCGAACCCUAAAACGUGUGAGCAGCAGAGUAACACAGGACAUAUCAGGCACCUGUAAACCCCCAUGCUGUGUUUGAAUGGUGCAGGAUUCUUUUCUGACCCUUCUUUUUCUCCAGUAAGGAUUAUAUCCUAGCAGAUGGGCAGAGUACACUGCAACAUCAGUCAUCAGCCACUGGAGAAAGGCAGGGUUUUGUUGCAUACCUCCAAGUUGAAGUCAGUAUCCGAGUAGUUCUGUAUUUGCAUAUUUGCUCAUUUUCCUCAGGACUUCCUGAGACAGUCCUGGUGGGUUCAAGGGGUUGGGAGAGGAAAUUUGCAGUAGGCAAAAGCUCUUGCUGAGGCUCCGGCUGGACCUGGGGCAGUAGGAUCCCUGCAGGACUGUGUAGCACAGGGAUGGCAGCUGUGGAAUAAGGGGAUGAUGCGCUUGGCUCUCCUCUGCUCUUUGCUCUGCCCUCCCUGGAAGCAGCAGCCGGGUUCAUGCUUCCACGUCAGCCUGGUAGGGUCUGGGCAACAGAGAGCACAGAUGAGGGUUUUGUCUCUGCUUGUUGGAGAUGGCAGCUUUCAACCAGUCCUGUUGGGUUGGGAUGAGCACAAAGGCUGCAGGAGGUGGAGGUGGCAUUCCCCCAUCUGCAUAUCCAUCACUGCCUCUUUUGCAGGUUCAGCUGCAGCAUGCGACUGGUGUGAAACUGCACAGCAAAUCCCCAGGCGUGGGGCUCUUGUUCCUGUCAGCCCCUUGCCUCUGGCUUCAUUUUCCCUUGCAGCCCUUUGGCACUCACAUUGCAGCAGAGGGGAAGAUGCUUUUGCAGCCAGGAGCCAGCUCAUCCCUGAGACCGCAGGGAGCCGCAGCCGCAGAUUGAAACCGCAGCUCACCAGCAAAUGCAAAACAAUGUGCAAACAUGUUUUAAUGUCAGGUUUUUAUUAAAAGUGGACUAAGAGAUUAAGAUGUUCAUCUGCCUUGCAGGGAGCGACUUUAUAAAUCUCAGCUUGCGUGCUCUUGCCAAGCGUUGCUAAUCAGCAGGCUGGAUCCACGUCACGUGUGCACAGUCUGCUUCCUCGUGAAGGCUCUCUUUCUCCAGGCAAUGGGAGAUGGGGCUCAGUGAGACCUCCUGGGGUUUAAUGAGGUUCCCACUGACACAGAGUUAUUGGGUUCUUAUUCCCCCUUUAAGCAUUCUGCUCUACAGGCCUGCUGCAUGUUGGUGUCUCUGCUUUGAGGACUCUGUGUGGAGCAUCACUGGGUCAGCAGGGACCCAUGUCUGGCAUGGGAUCCCCUAUUGGACUCGUUAGAAGGUACUUUGAAUGCCACAGGGGUGGCAGUGAUCACUGCAAAGACCUUUGAAAGCAACUGGCAUGUUAAAAACUCUCUGCCACGCUGAACUGCAGUGGUGGCAGUGAUUUAGGAGCACUGGAAAAUCUUGUCCUCGACCUCUUAAGCUUGUCAUAGCCAUAGGAUUGGAGCAGCUUUGGCGAGAGAUGAUUUGGUUCCUGGUUUUUUUUUCCCCUUCUUCUCUGCUUGUUUUAUGCUCCUAUAAGCAUUCAUCCAGAAAUUCCCCUUUGCUGUGCUGGAUUGAUGGCUCUGGGACAAUCAGCAGUAUUCUGCUGCUGUUAGGAGUUCUAAAGGCAGUAAAGUUGGGUCCUUGAAGUGCUGUCAGUAAUCAUUUUUAUGGUGGUCAGAUUGCUCAUUAGCACACUUGUUUUCAGAUAUUUAAGCUGGAAAGAAAUCUAUAGUCCUUGCAUUUUUAACUUGAUAACCACUCAAUAGAACAAAUAGAGUUGGAAAUUAGAGCAGAGCUGGGCUGGAAGAAAUAGUCCUGAAUGCUCACCUUUUACCCCAAAGGUCUAUGGAGACAAUUGCUUUGAGAACACAGCUUGGGGGAGCACAUGCAUUCCCAGCCUACCGAGAGGUAAUAACAGCUCAGGUUUACAGUGGUGAUUAGCCAGUAGGAUGGGACCUGGAGGUAGUCCUAAAAUAGGUAUAUUGAAAGCUUCUGCUCUGAGUCUGGGUGAAAAACAAGGACUGGAUUGGAGCUGGACAUGAAGCAAAAGAAACAGCCCAAGAAAUCCUAACCGAUGGUUCCCAGAACCUGGAGGCAACUGGGUGGAUUCAGAGCAGUGCUGGAGUGGCUUUUCUUGAAGUCCUAUUUCCCAGGCAGGGCUGUGAAUGGCCCUUGAGCACAUGAUGGGGUCUGGGGUCUGGGCAGCUGGUUGGGAACUGCUCUGAGUCCUGGUGCACAGUGUGGGAGGUGUCCUGGGGGGGUCUGCAUUUCAUGCUGGCUGUGGUGUCAGAGAGAGUGAGGAAAGCCAUAGGGAAGAGGAAUGUCGAAGUAGGCAGCUGUGGUGGGAAAAUAAUGCUUCUUUCCUGAAGUAGUGACCCAUUCCUGGACCAUGGCCUUUCUGCCCUACCAGCGAUGCGUUUGGGGGCACCCAUCAGAGAAGCAGCAGCCUGGCACCUGGUGCUCACCUCCAUCUCCCAGAGUGUUCCCUUCCAUCCCGAGCACAGCUCAGCUGCAGUAUCCCCCACCACACCUUUAGUUUAGGCAAUAAAACAGCAAAGGGUUGGAGGAUUGGUUGGGAUUUUUUUGUUUCUGUAAAGCAUUUUGGGAUUCAGUGGAAGGCAAGGUGCUGUGCAGAUGUAAGCUCGUUAGAAGGUCAUUAUCAUUAUUCACCUGCUGUGUCUGUCUGUCUCUCUAAAUGGCUUUAGCUGUCAGCCUAUUUAUCCAUGUUCCCCUCUUCCUAUUAUUAUAUGGUAAGACAUUGCCUCUGCUCCUAGCCCCCCUAAGGCCCUCCCUCCCCAUUUCCCAUGCCAACAGCACUGUGCUUUGUCUGAUGGGAGUUCAAGGAGCCCAAGGCCAGACUGCCCCGUCCUCCAUCCGUCCUGUGCUGCUGGGGGAACUGGAGGUGUUCCUGCAGCCCUGGAUGCAAAGAGGGUGCCCAGAGUGUGCUCCCCCCACAGCCAGCCCUCAUCUGUCCCCGUGCAUCCCCUGUGUGCUCCGGUGCUGCUGUGUAGCAGCGUUGAUCAGUGGAGAUAAUUAAUAUGAGGAAGUAGAAAAUUUUGUCUUGGGCUUAUUACAGACUCUAACCCUAUUAGGCAGGCCAUUUGGAGUCCAGGGAGGGCUGUUUCUUUCCAGAAGAGAUUGCAAGUGGAUUGAGUUCCAUUAUGUUCCUAAUUAAAAGGAAUGAAAUAAAAGAAAAAAAAUAAAUAAAGAAGGGAAGGAAAAGAAGCGAUGGAGCUUUGUGACACUUUGGGAGGAAAUUAAAGCCUCGUAGGUGUUUUCCACUGAUGCACUCACGUGCACUGCCUUGGUGCUUUCUGCUUCCCUCUUCCAUCGCCAACCCAUAUGCGGAGCCCCAGUUCUCCUGGCCCAAGAGUGGGAGGGCCAGGAUAGGGCCGAAGGGGCAGCAAUGGGGCUGAGCAUUGGGAUGAUGCGAUGGGAGCCGGGCAGGGAUGGAUGCUGGGCAGAGGCAGAGAGCUGCAGGCUGGGAGAGCCGUGGUGCACAGCGGGGUGUGGGUGCAAUGGCUCUGCGAGGGAUUCUACAUCAAGGAGAGAUCCCACAUCAAGGCAGCGCCGUCGGGCUCCCAGGAGCGCUAUCGCUUGCCCAAAGGGCUCGGAGCACUUACUUAUUUUGUAAUGCGGCCCCUCAGCCUGUGAUGUGCCAGACGUGGCGUGUCUAAGAAGCCGGGCUGUUCCUUAUCAGCCUCUCGCACUGUCUCAGAACCCUUCUGCUAAGUGUCUUUUGUCCCCUAAUAAACUGAUAAGCUGCUGGUAAUCCGCUGAUCGCUGAUAGGCAGGGCGGCCCUGCUCUCCCUCCCUGCACAGAUAAGGUGGCUCUUUGCCAGCGGGCAGCAGGUGAUACAGCUCAGCCCGCAGCAGGGAGCGGGUGGGCUCUGAGAGUGUGUGCCCCCCACCCCUGGCUCGUGUGAGGAGAGAGAACAGGACCGGGUUGGACUCUCCUGGGGGUUCUGCAUCACUUGGGCAGGCAGGUCCUGCAUCCGUCCUGCAGAGUGUGGGCGUCGUGUCCUGUUCCCAAAUGUGCAUCCUGGCCCUGCUGUUGGCUGCACAACGGUGCCAGGCUGGGGCAGGGAGUCCUGUGGCUGCCUGUGCUCCUGGAGGGAGACUGGAAAGAAAGGGAAGGUGGGAGGGAAGAGGAAAAAAGGCAUGCGUUUCCUCCUCUUCCCUCUCUGUUGCAGCACUCUUGCUCUCCGCUGUCAGGAGAUGGGCAGGAGGGAGGAGCGCAGCACCCUUUUGGUGUUAAUUAUCUACGAAGCCAUGCAGCUGUGGUGCACACAGCUCCGGUGCUGGGGCUGCUGCCACCUUUGCACCUGCCCUGUGCUGUGCAGGAGUAAAGCCCUCUCCCACUUCCCUGCAUCCAUAGCAGCACAGGGCUGCAAUGCAGCACCGCUUCCCUUGGGCUCCCCAUCCCAGCAAACAGCUGCGAGCCUGCGUGAGCCGUGGGGCUGUGGGACAGCCCAGCUCCAGAGGGGGAUCACUUCCUUCCCAGCACUCACAUCACUGCUAUUUAAUUUGCCAGGCGAUACGGUGGAAGGGAACGAAGUGCUGCAUUUUGUAUUUUUACUUCCUCGUCAACGUUCUCCUUGGGGGAAGCUGAUCUUUGGCCUGUUGCGGCCACAGCCCUUGUUUAGCAGAGUUUGGGCUUGUUCUGACUAUUUCUUGCUGUGGAAAACAACUCAUUAGCACGAGGCAUGCCGGAGCUCUGGAGACUCUCCUAUUUUCCUUCUAUUUUUGCACAGCGCAAGGAUGGUGUGAGCAUCUCUACCCUGGCACCAGGCAGCAUUUUGGGCUCACCCCCGUGUCCUUCUCCCCUGCUCACGUGUUUUAGUGCUAACACUGCCUACUCUAUAACAUAAACUUAUGGGCUGGGGGCAUAAAAUCCAAAGCAGGAUCCACGUCUCCUCCCCGCCUCCUCCCCCUAAUUGCGUGCAUUUAUGUAUCUGUUUGCUGCUGCUGGAGCGAGCGGGCUCAGCCCUGCAACCUGCUGUGUGUGGGGACUGGAAAUGAGGGAUCAGGAAGAUGCUGACAGCCUGCUUGCGAAGGCUUGAUCAAUCAGUAUGUAAUAGAAAAACGGCUUUGGCUCUACGGGGAGAAGGAAGCAAAGGAUUUGAUUAAAAAGUCAGACUGCGGCUGGUUGGAAGGGACAUCUCUUGGAGGCGGAUGAAUCAUCAGGUAGUUACAGCACAGGGGUUUGGCUUGAGAGCAAAGUGGGGGGAACUGCCUUCCUCCCUCUGCUCGGCAUCCUGAAUUGAUAUAGAGCGGCCGUGGGGCUCCGCUACUGCCCGUGAGCUGUUUGGGAUGGAGCAGUGCCAGGUUCCUCACUCAGGCAGCACCAUGCCUGCCCUGCUGGCAUUUGACAUGGGUGAACAUGCACUAAAUAAUCGGCAGCCUAUCGAUCCGAGGUCACCCAUGCCAAAGCGUGAUCGAUGGGAACAGACAGCUGAGUGGUUCUGUAAUGAAGUGCCUUCACCUUAGUGGAUUUGGGAGAGAGAAAGGGUAUGGGAGAUUAAAUCCUCCUGCCAUCGACAGCUCAUCAAGCAAAAGACGUAUUAGUGAGGAGCAGUCAUGCUUCCUGAGCCCUGAUGGGAGGAACUGAACUGCUGGGAAUUGUUUGUGCUCUUUGGGGGAACAUCAGCCAGGAGUGCAGCCCCACUGCCUCCCAGCACCCCGCUCAUGGCUGCAGCUGGCAGGGGGUGUCCCAGGCAGCAGUAAAGCUUUGAGUGCUUUGGAGGAAUUAGGGAAUCCGGGAGGGGUGCACCCAGGAUACAGUUGGCUUUCUGUGCUGUGAGGGCACAGUGCUGGCUCAUCCCCAGCUGCCACCCAUCAGUACCCCCAGACCCUUUUUGGCAGGGCUGUGCUCCAUCCUUACACCCCCAGCUUGUACUGACACUGCGGGUUACCAUGACCCUUGCACUUGGCUUUGUUGAACCUCACGAGGUUCUCCUCACUGCGCUGCCUGUCUGUGUCUCUCUGGAUGGCAUCCAGAAUUUGCCAUGGCUGCUGCAGCCCUGCUGGCCGAAGGGCUGAUGUGGGUCUGACAACCGGCAGCCACCGAUGGGCUGUGGCUGGCAAUGAGGGGCAUCAACUGCAACCUGAUGGCACUGAGGAGCCCUGGAGCUGCUGGGAGUUGUGCCAUGCUCCCAGACCCCCCAGCCCUAUGUGCAGAGGAAGGCAAUGGGAGCUGAGGUGGGACCUGGCAGCUGCCACGUGAAGUGUACUGAAGCUGUGGGGUGGAGAAAUGGAAGGCGUGGGGUUGGAUCCUGCAUCUCCAGCCAACCGUGUUGCCUGGCAAGCAGCACAGAAAGCGAAUAACACUUAAACCCGUGCAGGCCUGGGGUGACAGCAGUGCUCCGACAUCUCCUCCACCCAUUUUUCAAGACAAACUUUCCUCCGUGAUCCACACACAGCUUUAUUGAGCUCUAUUUCCUCCAGUCUAACUACAGAAAGAAAUUGGCAGCAAGCGCUCUCGCGGGCAGCGUGGAACGGCAGCGGCGGCUGUCAGGGCUCCGGGGGCUUUAUUGCCCUGCCAAACACCUACAUCAUGGUGACACUUACAUAAUUACAUAUCGGACCGGCGAGGAUGAAGCGCCCAGCACCUCCUAAACGUGUCAACAUGAUUUGAGAGGUUUGGGUUUGGCUGGACUUCGUAGGCAUUAGAUUUCAGACUCCAAUCACACGGGCAUCCGGAGGAUCAAUAGCUGAGCACUGCGUGGCAGCUGGCUGCAAGGUGAGGGAGAGCAGCUCCGGGCGUCAGCGUGGCCGGUUAAGGUGAUGGAUGAGUUGGGUUUGGGUUUGGUCGCUCCUCCUCCUGCUGGGUCUUGUUCUGCCCUGCUGCAAAGAGGAAAUCUCAUGGGGAGACUCUGCAUCCUCACCCCGUGCCAGCAGUGCAGCUUCAUCAUGGAUGCUCUGUGACCCUCAUUAUGCAGCAGAGCACUUCCCAGCUUUACCAGUAAUCCCACUCUCAGCUCCAGCCACGUCACUCCGUGCUGGCAGCAAAUAGGUUUAGGGAAGAGAAAGCCGCUGUGACGCAGAUGUCUGCGGGCUGAGCUCCCUCUGACAGCACACGUGGAGGCUCUGACGGCGCUGCACCGCUGUCGGUGUGGGAAUGGGAUUUGGGGCCCUUCUGUGGCUUCUCACUGAUGUUGCGUGAGAUGGAGAUGCUCUGCUUUGGGCAAAUCUGCCCUUGCUGUGUGCUGUAUGAGUGCCCUUGAGAAAUGUGGGGGAAAUCACAGCAAUUUGGGUGAUUGAGUUUGGGUGGGUUAGGAAAGAACAGCGGAAUGCCUCAGACCAAAGCUGAAAUUGGGGAUUUUCUUGCAGACUCAUUGGCUUGAACUCCUUUCGUGAAGAGCUGAGGUUGUUGCACUUGUUGGCACCCUCAGCUCUAACCAGUGACAUGUGACACGUGGGACCUCUUAGUAACCGCAUUUAAUUAAGUCAAUUUCAUUUAGUUAAUUAAAGCAUCCACUGAUUGCUUGUUAACCCUGCACACACGGCUUCUGGGCAGCCCUGCUGCCCGCUCCUUUGGCCCUCUCUGUCAUCGGCCUUUGUCCUCUGCUGUCCCUCAGAUGAUGACAACCAGCCCUGACUUUGCCAUCGUGGGUCUCCUCCUUGCUGCCUCCAAAGGACCGUGGUCCCUUUUUCCAUUAGGAAAGCAGCGUGUGCACACAGGUGACCCAGCUCUGCCCUGGCCACAUCUCACCCAGCUCCUUCAAAUUAAUUUCCCUGAUGGAGAAGCUCAGCAUCCCGCUGUCGUGCCUUCCAAUUCACACUCAGAUCAGCGCAGUGCUGGACCCACUUUGCAGCGAGCUUUGCAGCACCCGCCUGCAUUACCCAGCGCAACUUAAGGGGAAAACACCUGCAAACAAAUUGAACGUUCCUAAGUGCAAAUUGGUUUUACAAUUGCUCGAGAUUUAAAGUGCCACUGCAGCAAAACGAUGUUAUUUUUGGGGGGGGCAGAUGUCUUUGGAAUACAGGUUGGUUGGAUUUGUCCUGUUGGAAGGGUUGGGUUCAGCCCAGCUCUUGGUGGGUUGGUCCAUUGGGAUGCGCUGGGCUGCGGCACAUGGGCUGACCCCAGAACUGUCCCCAGUGGAGAUAAUCUGAUGGGUAGCGACGCUGCAGUGCUGUGCGAGGCUCUGUGCAGAGUUCAGCACUGCUCCAAACUUCCUCUUCUCCUCUGCGUGCUCUCUGCAGUCUUCAUUUCCACUAAAUCACCUCAAUUGGUUUCGCUCAGCGGUUGGAAAGCCAUGCUUGGAAUAUAAUGGUUGAUCUUUUAUGACAUUUACCGCCACUCAUGUCAGCGCGCGCGCCUGGUUAAUUCACUUGUUGCUAUGCCAUCCAUCAAUCACCAUAAAUGUUAUAACAGCAAUCUGUCACCGGGGGGGCACGCGUGGGGAGGUGUGCGAGGCGCAUUGGAUGGGGCUUGGGAAAUGAGUGACCCCUCCAUGUACUGGGGGGGAGUUGCCUGGAUCUGAGCAGUGCUGUGUGCUGUCCGUCCCAGUGCUGGGGCACGGGGUUUGUGCAGCAGCACAGUGCUCUCGCAGAUCGUUCUGCUGCUUGUCCCCUCACCCAGCAAGCUGUCCCCCUUCUUUUGGGGCGGGAGAGGCUUUGCGUGAGAUUUCAGACAGUGAAAACGUGGCUUAGUGGCAGUUUGCAUUCCCAACAGCCGGUGUAACAGCAGCCAUCAACAGCUAUGAGCCCGGCAGCAAAGCAGAUGAAGACAAAGUAGCCUCAGGUCUCACUUGUUGCCCUUUGCAAGUAAUUAUAUUAAUACACCUGUGAGCUCAUGUAAUAACAGAGAUGAGAUCUCCGCGACGCCCUGUUUGGGUGAAGGCAGGCUUGCGGGAGGUGUCUGAGAUUGCUUUCCCUGUGAAGAAACAGCAUUUUGAUUGAUCUCUCGGCAAAGAUAUGAAAACGCUCCGACUCGGUGCCACAUUUCCUUUUCGCUGUGACAUUUUGCAGGAGGGAACGAAUGGCACGCAGCCGUUCCCACGGUCCGGGUGACAUUACCAACAGCUCAGCAUCUCCUGCAGCACCAGCCGUGCUGGAGGGCUGACCCCCAAUGGAUGCUGGUGCUGAGCUAUGUGGGGCAGGGAUGGUCCUGGCUGUGGGUGAUGGCAGGUGAGCUGCUGGAGAUGGGUCAAGGCAUGCGUCAGAGCACAGCAUGGCAGUACCCCCCUGCAUCUGCUCCUCGUGACUUCAACACGGAAAGUGUUUUAGAUGCUCCUUUCCCUCCCUGCGUGGAGUUGAUGGCAACUCUAGUUAAAAGCUGAGAUGCUCAUGAAACACUUAUCGCCCCAAAGCUGUGUCUGCACUGCUCUCUGUUGCAGGUGAGGGGAUGGGAUCUCUUUGGGUCCUGUACUUUGGGAACCAGCAGGCAUUCUCCUUCCUCCACCAACCCCUGUGUGUGUGACUUAUUGGCCUCAAUGGAUCCCAGUUUCCACGUCUGUAAAAUGGCGUGACAUUUUCCUCCCAUGCGCUGAGGCUUUGCUUGCUCCUCUGGCCCCGCUUGGCUUUUAUUCUCCUCCCUGUAGAAGUGCUCAAAGGUGCUGGCCCACAUCAGGAGCUAAUGGGCAGCAUGCUCAGUGAGCAGGAACAGGGCUCUUCCUAUUAAACCAUGAGCACGCAGGCAGCUCUCCAUUCCCCCGUUCCUCCCCCAUAAUCCCUCCUCCUCGCUUCCCUCUCCACCAUCCCCGGCGAUGCUCAGCUCCAAACACCGUUGCAGCUGUGAGCAAAAGAAGCAGCAGUGCUGGGAACAGACCCUGCGAGAACUCAGCCCCAUGUUCCCUCUCUGCACCCCAACACUGCCCUUGCAAGCCGGGCAGCUGGGAGCUGAGCAUUGCCCUGGGAGGUGCUGGUUGGGUCCUACGUGCAGACGUGCAGCUUUGGGGCAGGACCAGGUGCUUUGUGCACUGUGGGUGUUCAAAGCAAAUCUGCAGCGCUCACAUCUGAGCAAUGGUCACCUGGUGAGAGAGAGGUGGUGGUGGUGGGCUCCAAUCUGGGGGCUCCAGUUCGGAGCUGGUUGCUGAAAGCCUUGAGCGUGAGGAUUUGUAGCAGAAAGGCUGCUGGAGCAGGAGCCUAGAGCAGGGUGAAUGGAGCUGCUCUAAUGGAUAUUAAGUGAUUUGCGAGCCCGCUGCUUGCAAACACAGCUGUAAAUAGAACAAAGGGAGGGGGUAGCAGAUGAAAGAGGCUCAGGCUCUUUAGCGGAGCAGUGUGAAAAAUGGGGAAAGGUUCCUGUGCAGGGCUCGGGCAGCGAGAGAAACAAAAGCCCCGGCAUCUAUUUUCAUAUCUUUUAUGUCUUCCUUGCACUUAAUCUUGUUUAGCUCUGCAAUUAAAUUUUAAGACGCAUAAGAGUGUUCGCUUACACACUUGGAUUCUUCGCAGAUUGAAUUAUUUAAUAGAGUGUGGAGCGGCUCCAUGAUCUCGGAGCUAUGGCACCAAAGGCAGCCAAGCAGAAAAUUAAUAAACACUGCCUGCCGUCUCCGCGCCUCCCGCGCUCCCCUCUGCAUCCUCCCUCUCCCUCUCCUGCUGCAGCCACCCCUCUGCUCCCAUCCCUUUCUGUUGGGGUUUCCUCUUUCCAUCCCACUGCCGUCUCCUCCCUCAGUUUUGCCACCUGCCCUUUCGCUGCUGUGGGAUCGAUGCUCUGUGCAUCUCAUCCUUGCAGCUCAAUGCCUGUGCACGUGUUCACUGUGAUUCGGGUCAUGCUGGGGAACACCCCAUGCCAGCAGUGGGGUUGGGUGGGAUCGGGCUGUGCCACUCUGUAAUUGCAUUCCUUGGCCCAGAAUAAAUCUCAUCUCAAAUGCUGCUGGAAUUCUCUCUCUCCUCCUUCAUUCUCCAGCCACCAAAGUUGAUCUUCUCUCCCCUCCUUUUUUUUUUCUUUUUUUUUUUCCAGUAACCUUUCCAGGCAACAAAUUGCAGGGGGCAAUUACGCUGUUUGCUAAAGAGAGCAUUAAGCCAGCCACAAUUUCCAUAGAGGAUAUUGUGCAGCAAACUGAUACAAAAGCAGUCUAUGAAAUACAUCAAAUUGCCUGUUGGAUAAAGGCAUGCAUUUACAAUGCACUCGGAGCCCUUAUGAAUUAUCUGAAGAGAAAUCCGUUUGUUAUUUUUCUUGCUCUUAAGAAUCCCCAUUUUAAGUGGAACCAAAUAAAAAGGCAGGAAAAUUACCACUAGAGGAAAAGACUGGCCACUCCUUUGUGGGAGGUGAUGGUGGCUUCCCUCUGUUGAUUAUUGAAGGCAAUGUGUUUUGAGUUUGAUGGUUUUCAGUGCAAGUCUUCAUUGGUAUCUUUGUAGAAUCAUAGAAUCAUAGAAUGUUUGGGUUGGAAGGGUCCUUAAAGAUCAUAUUUCCAUGGAGUGGUUGGGUUGGAAGGGACCUUAAAGAUCACAGAACCAUGGGAUGGUUGGGUUGGAAGGGACCUUAAAGAUCAUAGAACCAUGGGAUGGUUGGGUUGGAAGGGACCUUAAAGCCCUGCCUCUGCUGUAAAAUGGGUGCCCCCCCUCCCAGCUUGGCCUUGGGCACCUCCAGGGAUGGGACACCCAUAGCUUCUCUGGGUAAUCUGUUCCACAGAGCCUCCUCUCCUGGUUGCUGCCCUUCAUGCUGAGUGGGAUGGCUGCUGAUAUAGCGCCUAUGGGGCAAACCAAAGCUCUGGCUGAUAAAACUCUAUGCUGUCUACAGCGUGGCUCUUUAUUGAUGUGUUACGAGGAUUUCUGUCUUACUUUUAAAAAGAAAACAAAAAAUCCAGCACAGGCGUAUAGAGCAGAGGUUGCUGUCUCUCCAAGGACGAACAAUUAAGGAACAUGACCAAGGGGAAUUUUCCUGGGCUUGGCUGUUCUCAAUCUCCUCAACCACACAUUUGCAGUUCAGUGGGUCGAUAACCAUUCCUUGGGCUUCUCUCCAUCCCUCCGUGCUGGGAAGGAGAACACAUGGCUGCUCCCUUGUGCAAGGCCUUUGACAUGGUCUGACACCUCACGCUAAGUUGGAGAGAUGGAUUUGAAGGCUGGACUGUUGGUUGGAGGAGGACUUGGUUGGGUGGUCAUAAUCAGAGUCGUUAUCAAUGGCUCUAUGUGUGGGUGGAGGUUGGUGAGGAGUGGUGUCCCCCAGAGGUCUAUCCUGGGACUCGUGCUCUGCAGUGACAUAGACAGUGGAACCAAGUCCACCCACAGCAACUUUACUGAUGACAUCAAGCUGAGGGGUGCAGUUGAUACAACAGAAAGAAGGGACGCCAUCCAGAGGGACCUGGACAGGUUUGAGAAGUGGGCCCAAAAGAGCCAAAUGAGGUUCUGCAAGGCCAAGGUGUUCCACCUGGGUUGGGGCAAUCAUGGAUGUCUUCAGGUGCUAGGAAAAAAAAAUUCUUUACUCAGAGGGGUUGAGGUGCUGGCACUGCUGCCCAGAGCUGUGGGUUCCCCAUCCCUGGAGGUGCCAAAGGGCAUCCCUGGUCUGAUCUUGUGAGGGGCAUCCAGCGGGGGUUUGAGACUCAGUGGUUGUAGAGGUCCCUUCCAACCUAAACCAUUCCACGAUUCUAUGAUUCCCAUCCCUGUGGCUCCCAUAAACCUCUCCUAAAACACAGCUGCAACCCAAAGCAGGGCUUGUCCAGGACUGGGUGAUUCCAACACCAGUUCUCCUGCUGUUGGGACUGCUUCUGCAUAAGAAGAGAGCCCAGAUCCACAUGUUGUGCUGGGACACACAGACGGUUUGUGAUGGCUUGGAGAGAAGAGUGAGGAAGGAGCAGGGGAGGCUCGGGCUGAGCUGGGGCCCCAGGAGGGAUUUGUGGGAUCCUGCAAUUGCCUGAAUUCAUUUCAAUUAUUGGCGGCGCUUCUCUACAGCACUAAAUAAAGUAAAAUAAAUACAGAAAGCAGAAGGCAAUAUAAAGCAGUUAGAGAGGAUCAGUGGUGAACUGAAUAAUUCAUUCAGGAGAGAAAAAGAGCUAUUUGCUAUGUCAUUCUUAUCUUGAUUGUAUUUAUAGACAGGAACUUUUGACAAGGAAAUUACCUGUAAAUUCUUCUUCUUUUAUUUUUUUAUCCAUCCAUCCAUCCAUCCAUCCAUCCAUCCAUCCAUCCAUCCAUCCAUCCAUCCAUCCAUCCCAGCAAAUAAUCAGCAGGAAGACUUAUUGCAGGGUUUAUUUUCUUCUUCCUGAGGCAGUUUGAUGGAAUUGUAUGAAGAACACAAAAUCUCACGACCUCACUCUGAGCCCAUUGGAAGCUGCUGCUGUGAUAGAAAGCGAGAUAACGUUGGGUGGGAACUCAGGAGGGUGAGCAGCAGCGUUCCCCAGUGCCUCCAAGCAGGGAUGGAAGUCACACAUUUGUGUUUCCUAAGCUGCUGUGCACUGUAUUCAGAGCAAAGGCUGAGACUAUGAUGCUGCUCUGAGCUUCUGCCUCUCACCAGUGUUGAUGUGGGGUCUGUCCUUGCAAAUGGGUGUUCUGCAGCUUUGGGGACGAUGAGCGACAGGAGAAGGACACACUGAGUGCCUCUGUGAGCACGGCUUCAGCACCUGCCAGAAGUGUCACUUUAUUCCUCAAGACUUUAUUUGGUGUGAAAGAUGGCUCAAGAAAAAAUGUAUCCCUACUGAGUUUAUUUGGCAGAGGGACACCGGGGGGCUACAGAAGUUUAUUUACUGCUCUCAUGCUGCAUAUUUGCUCAUUGUUUAUUGAUUGGGAGAGAGAUGGGGCCACAGGAGAGGGCUUUGCCCCCUGGUCCCCCCCAGAGGGGGUCAGCCCCCCAAGAACUGCCCAUGUGCUGAGAUCUGCUCCUGCUGCUGGUGCUUCAAUAGCAUCCAUCAAACCCACGGUGCAGUGGGCUGAGUUCUGUGCAGAGCAGCAGGGAUGGCUCUGCUGUCCUGGAGGCUCUUUGGGGUCACUCUUUGCUUUCUCACCCCACAACGCAACCCUGGAGAGACCUCACAGAAAUUCACCCUGGAGAAACCACUGUUCCUACAGAAGCCCUGCUUCUGCUUCCUAAUAGACAUCGAUGUAAUUUGUUUUCUGAGCAGCAUUGGGGAAAUGUGCAUUGCUCGCCGAACCUCCCAUUUGCAUUGAAGGAAGUCAUAAUUUGAGCGAAGCGUGAAACACUCACGGCAAACUUCUUGUCUCUGUGAGCGCACUGGAGCUCAGCCUCGUGUAUAAUUGAGUUGUUAUAAUGAAGUCUGGGUUUGGUUCUUCAAGAAGGAAUUUGUUUAGAAAAGAGACUCUCAACUUAAUUUAGAUUUCACGCUGUUUCUGAGCUGUUGCUGUCAGCGCUGUAGGUCUGGUGGGCCAAUUUGUCCCUGGGGUAAUUUUGGGGAUGUUGAGCGGUGCUGGGUUGGGAUGUGGCUCUCUGAGGAGCUUUAAUAUCCGGAGUUGGUCCCUGUGCAGCAAUCACAGUGCUGCGGAUGAUCCGAGCAGAGAUGGCAUCAGCCCCGAGCAGCGCUAUGCUGGGCUCUGACCCCGCCAGCUGCCAGGACCCUGAUGAUCUCCUGCCAACACCGCACAGCAACAGCCCGGGGCUGUUCUGUCCAAUGGACAUAGGGCUGGGAAAGGGCAGAGACAUCCCAGUUGGGCUAAUUCUGAGGUUCAUGGGAGAAAUGUGGGGGUGAAAGGCUCUGUCUCAUCACCUCCAUCCUAUCACGUCAGUUCCAUUACUUCUGUCCCAUCACCACCAUCUCAACAUCUCCAUCCCAUCAUGUGCAUUCCAACGCCUUCAUUCUAUCACCUCUGUCCCAUCAUUUUCACCCUAUCACCUCCAUCCCACCAUCUGCAUCCCAACAUCACUGUCUCAUCACCUCCAUCCCACCACCUCUACCCCAACUCAUCCAUCCCAUCACCUGCAUCCCAUCACCUCCAUCCCAUCAUCUCCAUCCCAACACCUUCAUCCCACCAUCUCCAUUUCAUCACUUCUGUUCUACCACAUCAGUCCCAUCAUCUCUGUCCCAUCACCUCCGUCCUCCAUCCCAUUGCCUUCAUCCCAUCACUUCCAUCCCAUCUCCUCUGUCCCAUCACCUCCAUCCUAUCACCUCCAGGCUCUUUUUGCUCUGCUCCCCUUUGAGGCAGUCCCUCUCCUGACGAGCAGCUGGUGAAUACUUUAGGGGCUCCAGAACGCAUUAAUAUCUCUGAGCAAAUAUAAGAGCAACAAGCAAACAAGAUCCCUUUCCUUCUUCUGUGCGUUUUGGUUUUAAAUAUUACGUUUCCAGGGAUAAACGUUGGCAACACUUGAAAUAAAACGUAUUAAUUAAUGAACGAAGCACUUAAUUUAGGUUUAAUGGGAUAAUCCUUUCCUGCAUGUAACAUAAAUAGUAAUUGAAUAUUAAGAAUGCAUUGAGUGAGAAUUAACAACUGUGGGAGAGAGAGCUGCAUUUCAUUGCGCUCUUGUUAAACGCGUGGCCCAGCCUGGGUCUCUGGUGUAGGAAAGCUGGAUUCAAAGGCUCUGAAAGUCAAUGGAGAAACUGCUCUGAAAUGGGUUUGCAAAGCAGGGUGAGAAAAUCAGGAUUAGGCUUUUGUUCUUGUGAGAUUCACUGCCUGACCCGGAGCUCAGCUGAACAGAGGGCCCUCUUCACAUCGACUUCCAGAGCAUUUGGAUCAUUCAGCAGCUGAAAUCUAGCCAUCAUCCUAAACACAGCUUUAGGAGGAAUAUAAUAAUCAUCGGUGUGGGGAAUUGGCAGGUGGGGAGGCAAAGGGUGCUUUGUUCCUUACCCAGGCAGUGCUAAGCAUUCUGUUCCCACUCUGCUGCUGGGAGAUAGCAGAGCCCCGGCCGGCUGCAGGACACAGACACGCAGGCAGGGAAGUGCUGGGGGCCGUGCUGGAAAAAGGAAAAAUAAAGAAAAAAGAGUGAGAAAAAGUGGACGUUUAACCCAUCUGGAGUCCUUUGCGACAAGCUAUUGGGAUUUCUGUUAUGUCAGGGUUGGAAAGCAGCAGACCAAGCAAGGAGACACCGGCAAUGGGCAGGAGGGGAUGGUGGCAUCUCGGCUGUGCAGCAGAGCUGCAGUAGCACUCCAUGGGCCAUAAGACCCCCCUGGUCACUCCUUCUCCUGCACCCCCAUCUAUGACAGCUGCAGGCAGUGCAGUCCUGCAUCCUGCCUCGUGCUCUGAGUUGAAUCUGCCACCUUUCUUUCAUUGUGGGAUUUAUUUGUUGCCGCUCGCUCAAUUACAUUAUUGCAAAUUGUGAGUGAUAAAACCCUUAAAUUACUUAUAGCUCAUCCUUGUUUAAGAGAAUAAUUAGUGUAUUUCUAAACAGGGAGCAAUUCUUCUCAAUGGGAAACUUAGACUUAAAGGAUGCUUUCCCUGUAACUUACGCUAUGUAAAUAAUUGAUCAUUGAUUACACAAGAGUUUUAUGCUGUCUAGCCCAAAGACUCUCCCUCCUUCUCACGCUACGCUGCAGCUCUCCUUGUGCUGAGGAUCUCUGCAGGCUGGAAGUGCUGCAGAUCCCAUCUGGGGGUCUGCUCAGGGCCUUCCCCACGGUAGGGCAGAGAGCAACACAGUGUCCCCUGCAUUCUGGUUCCUAAAUGCUGGCAGCAAACCUGGGGUGCUCCUACUGUGUCCCUGUGCCGUGACCCACCUGCAUGGAAACCCAGAGCUCACGUUCGCUCAACCACAUCCCAGCCUGGCAGCCUCAUUGGAAUUCUGGAGUUGAUCACAGAGUUUCUCCAGCUUUUAUUUUAAUUAUUUUUUUCCCCUGGCCAGAAAAACUGCCUCAAACCUCCGGCGUUUGCCCGUGUCACUGAAACCCAUACGAGUGAUUUAUGCAGCCGGCAGCAGGGAGGUUAUUUAGCUAUUGUUUUAAAAGCAGGUGCAAGGGAGCAGGAAUGGAGACAUAUUUCAUCCGUGCCUCAGCCUCUGCCACCUGGGAGAGGCUGGGAGACAGGUAGGGAGAGCUGCUCCUGUCCGUCUCCUGGGCUGGGAGGAGCUGGAGCCGACAGCAAAUCUCAUGGCAGGGUUUGGACCAUCUCCAUGGCGCUGGGGAUGAUGUGCUGCACAUGGGGUUUGGUGGGAGGAAGCUGAGGGCCCCACAGCUGUGGGUCCCAGCAGGAGGAGCCUCUGCCCCUAUCCUUGCAGGAAACCCACGGCUGCUUUCUGUGCUGCGUGGUGAGGCAGAGCUGUGACUUCCAGCACAACCCAGUUCUCCCUCUACGUUAAUUAAACAGGACAGGAACACGG